rnacentral:rRNA from 1 species
GACGAACUCUGGCGGCGUGCUUAACACAUGCAAGUCGAACGGCGUGGCUAACGGGCGAGUAACAUGCGGGUGACUUGCCCUCCACUUCGGGAUAAGCCUGGGAAACUUGGUCUACUACCGGCUAGUGUGGCUUGGGCCCGGGGCCUAUCAGCUUGUUGGCGGGUUACUGGCCUACCAAGGCGGCAACGGGUAGCCGGCCUGAGAGGGUGGACGGCCACAUUGGGACUGAGACACGGCCCAGACUCCUACGGUAGGCAGCAGGGGGGAAUAUCGCACGAUGGGCGCGAGCCUGAUGCAGCGAUGCCACGUGUAUGACGUAGGACUUAGGGUUGUAAAGUACUUUCAGCGGGGAGGUUAAUACCCUGGUAAAUUGUCGUAAGACGUAGAAGAAGAACCGGCUAACUACGUGCCAGCAGCCGCGGUAAUUC